rnacentral:rRNA from 1 species
UACGGGGGGGGCAAGCGUUGUUCGGAAUUACUGGGCGUAAAAGGCUCGUAGGCGGCCAACUAAGUCAGACGUGAAAUCCCCCGGCUUAACCAGGGAACUGCGUCUGAUACUGGAUGGCUUGAGUUUGGGAGAGGGAUGCGGAAUUCCAGGUGUAGCGGUGAAAUGCGCAGAUAUCGGGAAGAACACCUAUGGCGAAGGCAGCUCUCUGGGACGGUACUGACGCUGAGACGCGAAAGCGUGGGGAGCGAACAGG